GUGCUCACUUCGGCAGCACAUAUACUAAAAUUGGAAUGAUACAGAGAAGAUUAGCUUGGCCCCUGCGCAAGGAUGACAUGCAAAUUCAUGAAGCGUUCCAUAUUAAA
rnacentral:snRNA from 1 species